rnacentral:rRNA from 1 species
UACAGAGGGUGCGAGCGUUAAUCGGAAUUACUGGGCGUAAAGCGCGCGUAGGCGGCUUUGCAAGUCGGGUGUGAAAUCCCCAGGCUUAACCUGGGAACUGCAUUCGAGACUGCAUUGCUAGAGUAUGGGAGAGGGAAGUGGAAUUUCCGGUGUAGCGGUGAAAUGCGUAGAUAUCAGGAGGAACACCGGUGGCGAAGGCGGUUCUCUGGGCAUGUUCUGACGCUGAGGAGCGAAAGUGUGGGGAGCGAACAGG